UGACCCGGCGCUUCCCGACGCCAAGAACCAAAGAACCGGGAAAAGAACCCACCCAUCCCUACCGCCCCCCGUCGAUCACCCGCAGGGGUGAACAUCGCCAACUCGGCUGGCGUGGAGGGGAUUCGAUGGUGCAGCGUCAGCCGCAACAACCCCACACAUGCAUCGGCCCUCGCCGGGACUGGCAUCCCAGUGCGAGGGCCUGAUCACCGAGGAAGUUAGGGCCUUCCCG
rnacentral:ncRNA from 1 species